rnacentral:lncRNA from 1 species
GAAUCUAAAGUUUGAUAAAGUCAUAGGUGGUGAGACUAAGGUUGUCGAAGGGAUAAAAUACUGCCUCAACAUUACUACUACCGGUGGUAUUGAUUUUAACAAAUAUACUGUUACUGUUUUGGAGAAGGCAUGGCUACACUUUAGAAACCUCACUUACUUUGUGCCUAUUCGUGAUUAAAUCAUUCUUGGAUCUUAUAGCAUCAUUCACAUGUAAUCGUGCAAUAAAUUAUUUUUCAUUAUAAUGAAUUGUGAAUCCAAUUGUGUUGUCAAUAUUUACAAACUUUCUUAUGAAUAUGAUUCUUCGUAAAAUUGUUUAUUUUUAUUUUUAUAGAAAUCGGAAAGUUCAUAUAAGUUUUUGUAUUUUGAUGAGAUAGAUUAUUAUAACAUGUUUGAUUUUCAAUUUGCAAAACUUAAUUUUGUAAUAGAAAAAUAGUUUGACUUGAAAAUUAAUUUUUAAACUUAAUUUUUUUCUAAAUCAACGUUUAUUCAUAAGCAACACAACACUUGUUAUUUAUGGCUCUCAUUUUCUCAUUCAAAUGUGAGAUUUUUGUUAUUUUUUUUCUUUCUCCCCCAAUUAAAUUUUUUUUUUCACACUUGUUUUUUUUUUAAGCUUGAAUUUUUAUGCUUGGUAAAAUUGUCUUCGAUUUUAAUUUACAACAAUUUGUUUUCAUCAUUUGUUUAAUUUAUUUGUGGUUGAGAUAUUUUUGUAGCAGUUAUUGUUAUUUAUCACAUCACUAUAUUAUUCACAUUAAUAUAUAUAUAUAUAUAUAUAUAUAUAUAUAUAUAUAUAUAUAUAUAUAUAUAUAUUAGUAAAUAUACGCUUAAAAAUAUUUUAAAUAUAUAAUUUAAUCAAAUUUUAUUAUGGAAAAUGAAAUUCGAAUACAAAAUAUUAAACAUAAAUUAUGUUAAAUAAAAUUAAUUUAACUAAAAAACACAUUUAUGAACGUUAACCGAAAAAUAUAUUUGAAUUAAAAAUAUUGGUAGAAAGAUUAUAUAAUAAGCAAAAUUCUUAAUUUUAUCUUUGAUUUAAGACCAAGAUAAUGAUUUAACACGAUCUAUGAUUUGAGCUAUAAAAUUACUACGUUGUUUGAAGACACUUGAUUGAAAGCGGUUAGAAUAAAUAUUUUUCUCAGUUUCUGUUUUACAUAAAAUUUAAAGUUUAGUACCUACAUUAUUAGUGUAUGACUCUUUCAUUAGAACUAUAUAUUUUUAUUUUGUACAUUAUUUUUUAUACUUAUUUUGUUUAUUUUAAAAAAAAUAUAUGUCAAAUAUAUAUUAUUUUACAUCAUAAUAUAAAAUAAUAUUUAUUUUUAUUAGUGAGCACUAACUAAUCUGCUAUCAUGCUAUCACACACGUAUAUAUCAAAUGCGAAUUAAUAAAGACGUAACAUAGUGCAGCAACUUGAGGCGUCUUCAAUUAUUUUUUACUCAAUGACCUAUAUUGAAACGACUAAUCAAUUGUAUUUAAAUGGUUUAAUUUUUAUUUGAAAUGAUAUUUUUGUCUAACUAUAGAAUUGAUUAAAUAAAUAUAGAUUAUCUUUAUGUGAAUUUUUUUCUUUAACUAAAUUAAACAUCACACUGAAUGAUAGAUUAAAGUUAAGGAUCAAGCGUCGAAAAAAAUACAAUUGAUAUAAAAAACCAAAUUAUAUCAAAUGAAAUUUGUCAAUUUUAUUGAGAAUUCAAAUUAAACAAUCAGAACAAUAAUAUAAACGAAUGAAAAUGAAUGGGAUCAUCGAGUAUAGAUUAACAAUAUAAGAUAAACCUCAAAGUCUUGAUAAAAUUCGAAAAUAGUGGAGUAAUCCUAUAAUUUAACAUUCCAUGAAAAAUCCAGAAAAAAAGUUAUUAUUCUAUGGUUAAAAAAUAUAAAUUGGAUAUCUAUUCUCCAAAAAAAAUAAAAACCCUUGAUUAUAAAAUCUAAUCAUUAGUUUGUUAAAAUAAUAACUCUUGAUUAUUUCACUUUACAUUUCACUCAUUUUAAAUAAUUAUAAUCAUCUCAUUUAAUAUGUCUUUAAAGAUGAUAUCGAAUGACGCUAUGAUAUCAAAGUUUAAUUUGGCACAAUUUUAGUUUUUUGAUUUUAUUUAAUCGAAAGAUAAAAAACAAUCACUAAAAUAAAUAUUUUAUAAGAUCAAAUAUGUAAUUAUUUGAUUAUAACUUUUCCUAGGAUAGAAGAUUUUGCACCUUAUUAACUAUUGACGAAAAAUUUCCCUUGGUCUCUCUUUGUUUGACAGCAUAAAAUUUCUUUAUUUUUUUAUUAAUAAAAUAUGAAACUUGCACUGUCAAAUCUCUUGAAUAAAAAAUUUACCUCUAUUGUACUCUUAUUAAAUUUGAAGAUAAUACCCGAAUAAAAAGAAUAAAAGCAUAAGAAAUCUUCUUGAUUUUUGUUUGACUUAAUACAUCAUGUAACAUCAAUAACGGUUUCAGCUACUGAAGAAAUAUCAUUAAGGGUUUGUGAUUUUGUUAAUUCUUGAUAUUUCAUAUCUUUGAAACUCAACCUAUGCGCUUAAUUGCAAAAAUUCAAUGGAAACGGAUGUGCAGUGGCAACAGAGAAGUAGGAAAAUAUGGAAAUAUUUGAAAAUAAAAAUAAGGGCAUAUGACAUGUGAAAAUAGAUUUAGACUCUUGAUCUUUGACCUAUGAAAUCACGUCCAUGUAUUAUUUUUUAUAUCAAUAAUAUUUAACACAUUUAAGUUUUAUUUUUUAAAAUCUAUUUUAUUUUUUAUUUUUUUCAUUAUAUUAUUCUCAAUAUGUUGAUUAGGUUGACGGACAUUGAUCAUUUUUUUACGAGUAACAUAAUCCAUGUUGAUGGGUGAGUUGUAUGGAAUCACUACAAGAAAAUUGACUUUUAGUGACAUACAAAGUUUGUCACCAAAAGUCAAAAAUUACAAGUAAAUGUCAAUAAUACUUUGAAUGACAUCUAAAUCUAUUGCCAAUUUUAAGGGGGCAUCUUGCUAUACUUUGAAGACUGUCACUCCAAUUUUGAGAUAUGUAACUACAUGUUUUUGAUUUCUAACUACAAUAAUGACUAUCACUAAAAACUAGAUAAAUAUAAAUAAAGAAUUAAUAUAUUCCUACAGUAUUGUUUGUCAAUAAAAAAAAGGAUAAAUAUUAAUAAGCAAUUAAUAUGUUCAUACGGUAUUGUCUGUCACUAAAACUUAUUAUUAUUUAUUAAAUUAAUUUUUUUUUAUCUCUCUAUUAAUUGUAAUUCUAAAUUAUUAAUACAAGUAAAUUAUAUUUAAAUUUCUAAUAUAUUUUUAUUAAUAUGUUCAUACGGAAAUGUCCAUACUGCAAACACAAUAUUUCCAAAUUACACAGAUCUGAUAAUCACACAAAUUUAUUUUGUCCACGCAGCAAACAUCGUAGACAAUGACAUCCUCAGACAAUUUCAACUUAUAAAGUUACUGAUUAGUUUUAAUCCUCAACAUGAAGAAUCUGUUAGAAUGCUAACACAUGGUUUCCGCAAAAACAUAUGAUUCAAUUUACUUGAUGAAGUUUUCGUUUUCUUAAAAAGAGAGAGAAGGGGACAUAAGCUAGAGGAAAGAGGGUAUAACAAAAAUGAUGAAUGAGUAGAAGGUACCUCUCCAAAUUACCUUGUACUGACAAUGCAAUUAUGUGGUUUUCCUUUUCAGACAAAAUUUUAAUCAAGCAGUGCUCUUUUCCUUAAACUAAUAUAUUCUUUAAAAAAAAAUCAUAAAAGUUGAAAGCAGAUGAACCUAAAUUGAUGUACGGUAAAUUCUAUUUCUAGCAGAGUAUGUAGUGACAAAACAGGUUUGAAAUUUCAAAAUCCUAUUGCACUAAGUAAUUAAGGGAGAUAAAUAAAAAACAACCAAUAUCAUUCUAUCCAUCAAAAGGACAAAUGGAUUAAGGACAAAUGGAUUACUUUACUUGAUCAAGUGGUUCUAGAUUUGCUUUCAUAUUGGAGGGUAACUACAUGUAUUCCUUUGCGCAACCAAUCAUAAUAAUAGCCAACAAUGGCAGAAUCAGCUGUGCAGUCCACUAAUGCCGUAUUUGGUAUAAAUUGAUUUACAUGCAUGUGUUGAACACAUUUUUCCAAAUCAGUCACUUCUCCUCUUUCCUCUCGAAGUUCUUUCCACAUUGCAAAGUCAAUACCCUUGCAGAGAGCAAUUACAAUAUGAAUUAAUUGAGCAUGAGCUUAUUUUGUCAAUCGUGCACAUAUAGCCAACGACAUAAGUUAACACAUCCCAUGAUGCAUUUUGUAAAUGUAGUUCCAUGAUGCGUAGUGGCCAAAUAAUUCCUAUUGUCAACAAUUGAACUAUAUAAGUAUGUGAGAGAGUCACGAUACUAAAAUAGAAACCAUAAAAUCACACAUAUCAAGAAGCAUGAAUUACCAAAAGUAAUCAGGUAUCACUUAAAUUUUGAACUUACAAAAAAUGAAUAAAAAUGUUCUAAGAUUAACGGCAAGCAACAAAGCCUAGCCGUGUAUCAUUUAGAGAGAUUCAAUUUAGGGAGAUUUCACUGAGAAGCAUUGACUUUGAGCCAAGUAUGUCCAUUACACGCAAAUUAAUGUUAAAUUCUUCUUUCAGAACUGAAGCCUGCAUUGAAUGAAUUUUGAAUGAACUUGUCACAUAUUUCAAGAAGCCUUCUAGUAUUUACAAAUAUGAAAUAUCCAAAUGAAUUUUUAGCAAGCCAGAGCAUCAUAUUUAAGGGAGGUAGACUACUCAAUAAUUCUACAUUUUAUUUCUAUUUCUGUUAUAAUUUUAAAUUAUGAUAUCAACUACGAAAUAUGAAACUAAUCUUAAAACAUAUUUUGAAAUACGAAAUAUGUAAGAUAAGAAAUUAAUCCUAAUACAAUAUAUAAUAUAAGAUGAUCUGCAAUAAUACUAAGAUAUUAAUAUUUAAAAAAAUUAGGUUGGACUUUAUGAAUGAUUUUUUCUUCUUCUUUAUAAUCAAAACAUAUUCUGUUGAAAAAUGUAAUAUAUAUAUAUAUUUUUUUUUAUAAGAAAACAUGUUGUAAGCAAAUAUAUUAUAUUAGGAUAGAAUUGAAUUCGAAAAAAAAAAAUAUUGCGCAAGAAUAUGAGAUUAAUGUGUUAUACGACACUAUGAGUAGAUAUUCAAUAUAUAUGAAUUUAAAAAUCUAUUAUAAAUUUAAUAUAGACACAAACAAUUUUGGAAAAUGUUUUAUAUAAAAACAAUUUUUGAAUUUGUUAAUAAUUAUUUUAUAUUUGAUAUAUAUAUAUAUAUUUCGGAAAAUCUAUUAUAAAUGCCAUAUAGUUAAAAACAAUUUUCGAAAUUGUUAAUAAUUAUUUUAUAUUCCACGUAAAUAAUAAUAAUAAUAAUAAUAAUAAUAAUAAUAAUAAUAAUAAAAUAAUAAGAAAACCAUAAUGAAAAAAUAGAAAAUAAAAAUGAGAUAUUUGUUUCUUUUUCUUUUUUAUCAGAAUAUUUUCUUCUUUAAAUGUGCUGAUUUAAAUUUAUUUUUUUGACUCAGAUUUAAAUCUUUUUAAGAUGUGGUAAAUAUAUUUGAUUUUUUAUUAUAAGUAAGCUUUUACUAUAAAUAAAUAAGAGUUUAAAGAGUUGGUGUGAAAAGGAAAAGGUAGGAAAAAGGAAAAUUUCCCAAAAUUUGGUAAAAACUUUUCUCUGAAAAAAUUUAAUGAGGUAGGUCUUGCUAUUCUGUCUAUUGUUCUUCAUGUAUAUAAACAUUUACUUGUAUCAGCUGUUUUUUUUAUCCUUAAUUAAUCUACAACCUACUAGUAUUGUUUUUAGAGCAUGUAACUCGUUGUGCAUCUCUUAUCUGCUUUCAAAGGAGGAAGAUGAGGAAUUAUGGGCUUAACCCAUGAGGCCCAUUCUGAUAAAUAAAUAAAUAAAUAGUAGGGGUAUUUUGCAUCCAAACCAAUAAAAAACGUAAAUUAAUGAAAAUCAGUUGUUAUUAUACUGACAUUUAUACUUUUUCUCUUUAAAAAUGUAAAUAUAAAUUAAUAAGUUUGAUAUAUAUGAUUUAAAUUUUGAGUCAAAUACAUUAAAUAUAAAGAAAGAGUAACUCGUGAGAAAAUAAUAGUUACAGUUUGAGUUACGUGAGACUUCAAUAUGUUGUUCUUCUCCUAUUUGUUGUGUCGGUGUCCUCUCUAUCGCUACAUGACAUCAAGUUAUCUCCGAUAAGUGGUGAGACUAAGGUUGUCGAAGGGAUAAUUUAUUGUCUCAACAUUACUUUUAACCUAUUCACGAAUAAAUUAAUCUAGGAUCUUGUAACAUCAUUUACAUGCAACACAAUAAUAAAAAUGUUUUGUUCAUUAUAAUGGAGGGUGAAUGUAAUUGUCCGGUUAAUAGUUACAAAAUUUCUUGUGAUUAUCAUUAAUAAACUAAUUAAUAGAUGGGGUAUUCACAAUUAAAUAAACGAAAAAGUGAAAGCAGUACAAAAUUGAAUAUUAUUGAAUAAUUUUCAAUUUAUUUUAUAUUGAAUUCUAUUUUUAUAUUUAUUUUUGAAAAUGGAACCAAAGCAUAAAUAGAAAUUUUAAUUUUUUUUUAGUUUUUUAUUAAUAUGAAAUAAUGUAUUCAACUAUUAUUUGUUAAUUUUAAUUAACUUUUAAUAAUAUUUAUCUGUUUAAUUUUGUAUAUUUUUAUUCUUAUGUCAGAAUUUUAAAUAUAAUUGAUCUAUUUUAAUCCGUGAUAUUAAUUUUUAGUAUAUUAUAUAUAAUAUUUUACUUAAAACUUGUUACACUAAUGUAAUUUUAUAUACUAUAAUAAAAUAUUAUACUUCAAAUUAUAAUUUAAAUCAAUUAAAAAUUGAUCCAAUUAAAAUCACAUUAAUUUAAAUUAAAUCAGAGUUUUUUGUUGUUCUUUAAUCAAACUCAAUUACAAAUAUUUUAAUAUUUAAAUCUGAUGAGUUUUUCGCAUAAAUAUUUAACAAUAAUGUCACUUUAUUAUUAUUUAUUUUAGUCAACCCAUUUAUUAUGGUAAUGUGAAAAUUAGUUGUUGUUGUACUCACAUAUACGUUUUCUCCCUUAAAAAAUAUAAAUAAAAUUUAAUAAAAUAAAAAUUGAUAUACAUAUAUAUAAUUUAAAUAUUGAGUCAAAUAAUAAAGAGUAACUCAUGUGCAAUAUAAAUAACAGCCUAACGAGCAAACAAUAACUCACAGCAAAAAACACCAUUUGUAAAUCUUGAAAAAAUAAUAGUUACUAUUUGAGCACCAUGAGACAUCAAUUUGUUGUUGUUCUUCUCUUUGUUGUGUUUGUGGCUUCUAUGGCUACAAGAAAUCAACUUAUCCCAGGUACGUGGGUCCCCAUCAAGGACCUUAACGACCCACAUGUGACCGAACUUGCCAAUUUCGCCGUAACCGAACAUGACAAACAAACACAGUCGAAUCUAAAGUUUGAUAAGGUCAUAGGUGGUGAGACUAAGGUUGUUGGAGGGAUAAAAUACUGCCUCAACAUUACUACUACCGGUGGUAUAGAUUUUAACAAAUAUACUGUUACUGUUUUGGAGAAGGCAUUGCUACACUUUAGAAACCUCACUUACUUUGUGCCUAUUCGUGAUUAAAUCAUUCUUGGAUCUUAUAGCAUCAUUCACAUG